UUUUAUCCAGGGUGCGACUCCCCAACACCAUUCCAGAGGCCAGCUGUGUUUCUGGCAAUUUUUUACUCUCCUCUCCUCUCUCUUUCCCCAGGUGGCCGAGUUCCAGGGACGGGCAUCGGUGGCGCUGGUGUCCCAGGGGUUGGGCCAGGUGGCGUAGUUCCUGGCGCCACACCUGGUGUUAUUGGAGUCGGCCCAGGAGGAACUGGGGUAGGAGGAGUGAGUCCCGCCGCAGCGGCAAAAGCAGCAAAGUAUGGUCUUAUUCCUGGUGCUGGCGUUGGUGGAGUUCCUGGUGCUGGUGUUGGUGGAGUUCCUGGUGCUGGUGUUGGUGGAGUUCCUGGCGCUGGAGUUGGUGGCGUUCCUGGUGCUGGUGUCGGUGGAGUUCCCGGUGCUGGAGUUGCUGUUCCAGGAGCUGGAGUGUCUGCAGCAGCGGCAGCAAAGGCAGCGGCAAAGGCAGCCGCCUACGGGGCUGGUGUGGUGCCUGGCUAUGGCGCCAUUGGUGGUGUGGCACCUGGUAGAGUCGUACCUGGUGGAGUCGCACCUGGUGGAGUUGUACCUGGUGGAGUCGCACCUGGUGGGUUAGGUAGGUUCCCCCCUCUGUGGGAAGUCAAUGCCUUCUCAAGGCAACAGAGCGGCUCGUCCCGAAACCUUGGUCUUUGCAAUAACAUGGAGGCUGCUCCUGCUCUGUGGAACAACAUCAAGAUGUGACAGACACCCGCU
rnacentral:lncRNA from 1 species